GACCAUCAGCAGCCUGGCAGGGUCACCAACAGCUGCCAAGCUUCCCUCCAGAGGAGCACUGAUUUUAAAACAAGUUUAAAACAAGCUGAGCUCGUGCCUCCAAGGAAAGGGGGCCUGCAGGAGAAGAUGGGAUGUUAAGUUCCACCUCCACGUCCUUGCCUUCUUGCAAGCCUUACUGCUGGAGGUUUAAACUGAGGUGAGGUAAAAGCCACGCACUGCUUACGGUGGGCACUCUUUGGGUUUAUUUAUUUGGGAUGUGCUGCAGCCGUCGCGUGGCGAAAUGCUGCUGUGGGUGACCCUGCAGCGAGGGCGUCGGUCUGGCUUCCUUUUGCUGGCUUGUUACCUUAUGAUGCAAAAAAGAAAAAAUAAGGAACCUGACAAAGACAGACGGCGGAGCUGGCCCAGCUCUAAAGCCAAGUCAUUAUCAGCCUCUAAAUACAUCUCGGAAAGCUUCCAUGCUGCUGUGCCCUCUGGUACCCACUGCUUUUCUGCCUUGCUUCAAAAAAAAGCCGAAUGCUUUGCAUCUCCCAGCAGUGGGAGCAGCCAGCACCAUGGCAACAGCUCCACGGUGACUGUGUCCAUAGGAACCCUGCAACCGCACGGCUUCCAGCACAAAAUGCAAGCUCCGUUUGCACGGCUUUGUGCAUUCGCUCCUGGAAAUAGCGUGGGGCCGGUUGGGAGAUGGAUGGCUCAAAGCAUGAUGCAGAUGUGGAAGGCCAGGGCAAUGCCCUUUGAUCCCGGGAGCAGGAGAGAGUUUUCUGACUUAAAAAAACAGAGGCUCCACUGAAAAAAUUCUUUGCCUUUUUGGGCUCGACGUCUGCUCCAACCCUUGAACUUGUCAUCAAAUCUACCAGCUCCAGCUCCUUUCUGCUGGAGAGCUGCAAGAAGCCGACUCAGCUCCGAGCUCCUUGCUGCACGGUGGGGUUUGUUGUACCCUCUGCUAAGAGCCAGCUCCUGCAGCCAGCACGUGCCACCAGCCCGCGGAGAAGAGCAGCCCGAGGUGGUCUCAGCCCAGCUUUCGAAUGCUACAAGAACCUCUGAGAGAUAAACAAUUAAAAUAUGCAUUAAGACAUGAAUAACAGCUUGCUCACAUUUGGUUUUCACUGGGAUGAGAGCACAAAGCACUGCCUGGCAGGGGGGAUGUCGGGGCAGGCAGUUCCCAUCGGAGUCAGAUGGGGAGCACGGACAACAACAGCUCACUGUAAGCAUU
rnacentral:lncRNA from 1 species